GAGCGUCCACAGGGGUGCUCCCGGACGGGAGCUGAGAUGCGGCAUGGCCGCGGACCCUAAAGCUGAUCUGGAUAAUGCCAGCGGAGCGAGAUGGAAAUGCAGCAGCA
rnacentral:ncRNA from 2 species